ACAGGAUUAGAUACCCUGGUAGUCCACGCCGUAAACGGUGGGCGCUAGUUGUGCGAACCUUCCACGGUUUGUGCGACGCAGCUAACGCAUUAAGCGCCCCGCCUGGGGAGUACGAUCGCAAGAUUAAAACUCAAAGGAAUUGACGGGGCCCCGCACAAGCAGCGGAGCAUGCGGCUUAAUUCGACGCAACGCGAAGAACCUUACCAAGGCUUGACAUAUACAGGAAUACGGCAGAGAUGUCGUAUCCGCAAGGUCGGUAUACAGGUGGUGCAUGGUUGUCGUCAGCUCGUGUCGUGAGAUGUUGGGUUAAGUCCCGCAACGAGCGCAACCCUCGUUCUGUGUUGCCAGCAUUUAGUUGGGGACUCACAGGAGACUGCCGGGGUUAACUCGGAGGAAGGUGGGGAUGACGUCAAAUCAUCAUGCCCCUUAUGUCUUGGGCUGCACGCAUGCUACAAUGGCUGGUACAGACGGCUGCAAUACCGCAAGGUGGAGCGAAUCCGAGAAAGCCAGUCUCAGUUCGGAUUGGGGUCUGCAACUCGACCCCAUGAAGUCGGAGUUGCUAGUAAUCGUAGAUCAGCAACGCUACGGUGAAUACGUUCCCGGGGCUUGUACACACCGCCCGUCACAUCACGAAAGUCGGUAACACCCA
rnacentral:rRNA from 1 species